AUGCAGGUGGUUUGUUAAGUCAGAUGUGAAAGCCCGGGGCUCAACCUCGGAAUUGUCAUUUGAAACUGGCAAACUAGAGUACUGUAGAGGGGGUAGAAUUUCAGGUGUAGCGGUGAAAUGCGUAGAGAUCUGAAGGAAUACCGGUGGCGAAGGCGGCCCCCUGGACAGAUACUGACACUCAGAUGCGAAAGCGUGGGGAGCAAACAGGAUUAGAUACCCUGGUAG
rnacentral:rRNA from 1 species